rnacentral:lncRNA from 1 species
GGGUUUGAGAAUAGAUGUCUUGCUGCUACUAGAAGUGCUUUUAUUGAUGCAGUUCUUAAGUGAGGUGCAAUGCUUUUUCCUAGAAUAAGUUGAGACAAGGUCUCUUUGUCUACAAGUCGAAUUUGAUUAAUCUGUGAUGGAAACCACAUUUAGUACUUAGUACGUUCUUUCUCAUUCUUCAUGCAAGUGUGGUCUGUCAGGUUUGCCAAGAAGUCUCUCUGUUUGCUAUUAUAUCUAGGUAUUUUAGGGUCUCAAUUGUCAUAGUCGACACUCUAUAUCUGGUCAAGGUUUCAUGUCAUUUUAAAGAUUUUCUGUGUUUUCUAUGAAAAUAUAGCGUACAAUAUGAAUACUACUUUCUAUUCUUUUUCUGCAUUUGAAGAAAAUUUCUGUUUAGUGUGAUGUUUGGAGCCCAAAUAUUAGUGGGAGACUUAGUUGAGGCCUUGUUUAAGAUUAAGGUGAGGCAUUCACAUUUUGAAGAGUAUGCUGCCUUUAAUUGUCUUUUUGAUCAUCUUGUAUUUGUAAUGCAACAAACUUUGCAUUUUCUCCUUUUUUUUUCAAUAUUAUUAUCUAGUGGAAGAGCUCUCUUUUUGUUGUUUGUACAUUGGUUUUGACCUUAUGGAAAGCGGAAAAUUUAUAGCUCAAUUAUCAUCGUUGGAAACAUUGUUGUGAUAGUAAUUGUGAAAUGUUGGUCAAGCUACAAAAACUGUUGUUUUCUGUCACUUGACUCUGUACCUUGGUUCUAGCAUAGAAGAAAUGACAUAACAAAUGGUGUUGUUUAUGUGGUUAGUUGAAGUGGAUAGUUGCAUGGUUGCACUUGAAGUUCAUUUGCUGCCUUAGUGAAGUCAUAAAAAGGGAGGUUGUGCUCAGGGGUGCAUAUAGGUCAGAUUCCACAUCGGGCCACA